ensembl:lncRNA
GGAGGGGAGAGUGCCUAAUUAAGAGAUGGGGGCGGCAGGUGGGGCUCCGACGUGGCGAGGGGAACCCUCGAACAGCUCGUAGAGCAGUGGGGGGGCUCAAUCAGGGCUUCUGGGGGGCAGCAUGUGAGAACUGCAGUAGUGAGGGGCUUUAGGUGGGCCCUGGGGGGGCAUGUGGGGUGGGAGGGGGUCAAUGGAGGGUGGCCCAGGGGCCUUUGGUGGUGGGGGAGGGGGAAUAUGUGGCCCAGGAAUCAUUUGUGGGGGAGAGGUGAGGCCUAGGAGUCAGUGGGGGGGGGAUUUUCUGUGGCCCUGGGGACACUGUGUGGCCCUCAUCCCACUGCUGCUCCCCACGGCGCUGUGUGUGGGUCUGAGCACCAUCCCAUUCCCAGCCCGAUCCAGCACAGCCCUGCCAACCACCCUUAAUUAAAGCAAAAAUAAACCCAAACAACCAGCUGGGGUAGAGAGUGGGAGUGGAGUUUCCUGCCAUAACCUCCAGUGCAUUUUGAUAUUUCGGGUCCAAACGCUGUUAGGAAAAUCUGCCCCCUUUGGAAGCACAGUUCUGGAUGUGGAGCUCUGGAUGUGGGGCUCCAGACCCCUCCCCACCCCCUUUUGAGCUCCGGACCCCCCUCACCCCCCUUGGCAACCAACUCAUCACCACUCUCCCAGAGGAGAAAUUGCUCCUAACACCCAACGAGGACCCCCCAGCUCUCUUUUAUGGCUUUUCUGCAGUCUCAGGGCGCAGCCCUCUGCUCUCUCCGGCUCUUUGCCUUCCGUGCUGGCAUUGUGUUUCCCCCCGGUGUAAGCCAACGCUUCGUGAAUAAUGUAGCACUGCUGAUGAAUAUGCAGCUGGCUGCCGUGCCUGGGAGGACUCGUGAAUAAUGCAACGGGAAGAGCUCUGCGGGUCGCAGCAGCACUGCCAGAGCUGCAAAGUACACAUAUGUGUGUUGGGAUAGAGCUGUAUUUACCCUUCGAAGUGGGAGAAUGGCUGGAAGCGUGCCCCGGGCGCUACGGGGUGGGGUGGGUGAAAGCAGGGCUUAAAGAUCAGAGAGGCAUAGGAACGGUUGGAAGGGUUCUGAAAGAGCACAGAGCCAUUGGAUGGUUAGGUUGGAAGGGUCCUGAAAGGUCAUAGAACCAUAGAAUGGGUUGGAAGGGUCCUGAAAGAUCACAGAGUCAUAGGAUGGUUGGGCUGGAAGGGUCCUGAAAGAACAAAGAACCAUAGGAUGGUUGGGCUGGAAGGGUCCUGAAAGAUCAUAGAACCAUAGGAUGUUUGGGCUGGAAGGGUCCUGAAAGAUCAUAGAAGCAUGGAAUGGCUGGGUUGGAGGGGUCCUUGAAGGUCACUGCACCAUAGGAUGGAUGGGUUGGAAGGGUCCUGAAAGAUCAUAGAAUCAUGGAAUGGGUUGGAAGGGCCCUUAUAGAUCAUAGAGCCAUGGGAUGAUUGGGUUGAAACAGUUCUGAAAGAUCAUCGACCCAUAGAACGGGUUUGAAGGGUCUUUAAGGAUCAUAGAACCAUGGAAUGGUUGGGUUGGAAGGGUCCUUGAAGAUCAUAGAAGCGUGGGAUGGUUGGGUUGAGAGAGUCCUGAAAGAUCAUAGAACCAUAGGAUGGUUGGUUAGGAUGGGUCCUGAAAGAUCAUAGAACCAAGGACUGGUUGGAUUGGAAGGGUCCUGAAAGGUCACAGAACCAUAGGAUGUUUGGGCUGAAAAGGUCCUUAAAGCCCAGGCAGCUUCUGAGCAUCACCACAGCCUCCUGCAGCCCACAGAUCUCUCCUUGAAGCAGAACAAUUCAGUUCCUGCUAUCAGUGCCCGCAAGAUCAGAUCUGUGCCAGUGGAACUUUGCUCCUGUGGGUGAUGGGAGGCAGGAGGGACGUGGAGCUGCUGAGCGCGCUGCAGAUUGGCCACGCUGGAGAUCAACCCAGCAGAGCUCAGCACCACGUGGCCAUUUCCUCAUUGCCUCCAACGUGAUGGGGGAGAGAACCUUCAAAAAAGGACUAAAAGCUGCAUUUAGGGUCAGCUUCAUGGAAGUUUGUGUGGCAGCACGGAAGCCAAGAGCAGUCUGGCGCGCUUCUCCCUGCAUGUUCAACAUCUGGAAUACCAAUUGUUGAGUUCUGGGAACAUCUGGAAUGCCCAUCACUGAGUUCUGGGAACACACAGAACAAGCUGCUGUGCAGCAUGCAUGUCCCUUUGCAGGGCUGGGAACGUUUUAUAGCAAAUCAGAUGUGCCAGAAUCCACAUGGUCAGCUGCAAACCCUCCCCUGCCCUGGCGCUGUGUGUGAUUUCUGCAGACGAAUCAGCAAGAGGAGCAAAGGAGAGGAAGGUGCAGCCAACACCACUCGAGUUCUGCCAGCUUUUCCCAUCAAACAGUUAAUUAACACCCCACUCCCCCCUCCCCCCACCUCCAACAAGUUGUUUUCCUGUAGGAAAAGAAAUCUUUUCAGCACUCGUAAAAUCAAUUCCUCUCGAAGGGGAAUUAAAAAUGCAACGCGCACCCUCUUCCCCAUAUGCAUUAUAUUAAGCAGUAUGCCAAUGUAUGUAAAUGAGGCAGAAAUUUAACUAGAUGGAAGUGUUUAAAUAUUCAUAAUCGCAGCGCAGCGUAUGCAAAGCGGGCUCUCAGCAGAACCACGCGGCGGUCUCUAAUAACAGCUGUGUGCAGAUGGGGUGCUUCAAUGGAUCCGAUGCGAUUAUGGAUGGAAAUGUGGCCCAGUGCUCCAGAUGGGGCUCCCCCAGUGCAGAGCAGAGGUGGGGAGCACCUCCCUGCCCUGCUGGCUAUGCUCUGUGAUGUGCCCACCGGGGAACUAUUGGCCUUCUUGGCCAACAGGCGCGCUGCUGGCUCGUGGUCAACUACUGGUUAACUACUGGUCAACCAUUGGUCAACUAUUGGUCAACUGUUGUUGGUCAAGUGUUACUCAACUGAUGGUGAACCACUGACCAACCAGGACAACACUGGUGCUCUUGGUCAUCAAGGCACACUGCUGCCUCAUGGUCAACUAUUGGUCAACCAUUGGUCAACUGUUGGUCAACUGUUGGUCAACUGUUGGUCAAGUGUUACUCAACUGAUGGUGAACCACUGGCCAACCAGGACAACAUUGGUGCUCUUGGUCAUCAAGGCACACUGCUGCCUUAUGGUCAACUAUUGGUCAACCAUUGGUCAACUAUUGGUCAACCAUUGGUCAAGUGUUACUCAAUGGAUGGUGAACCAUUGGCCAACCAGGACAACAUUGGUGCUCUUGGCCAUCAAGGGACACUGCUGCCUCAUGGUCAACUAUUGGUCAACUAUUGGUCAACCGUUGGUCAACCAUUGGUCAAGUGUUACUCAACUGAUGGUGAACCACUCGCCAACCAGGACAACAUUGGUGCUCUUGGCCAUCAAGGCACACUGCUGCCUCAUGGUCAACUAUUGGUCAACCACUGGUCAACCAUUGGUCAACUGUUGGUCAAGUGUUGGUCAAGUGUUACUCAACUGAUGGUGAACCACUGGCCAACCAGGACAACAUUGGUGUUCUUGGUCAUCAAGGCACACUGCUGCCUCAUGGUCAACCACUGGUCAACUGCUGGUCAACCAUUCGUCAACUAUUGGUCAACUAUUGGUCAACUGUUAGUCAACCGUUGGUGAACCAUUGGCCAACCAGGACAACAUUGGCUUUCUGGGCCACCAGGACACGCUGCUGGCUCACCACUGGUCAAACUGGUCAUUCAUUGGGCAAUUGUUGGUGAACCAUUGGUCAACCAGGACACCAUUGGCCUUCUAGGCCACCAGGGCAUACUGCUGGCUCACGGUCAACUAUUGGCCAACUGUUAGUCAACUGCUGGUCAACCACUGGUCAGCCAGGACAACAUUGGCCUUCUGGGCCACCAGGACAUGCUGCUGGCUCAUGGUGAAUCUGUGGCCAACCGUUGGUCAAAUGUUGGUCAACCAGAUCAGACUAGGAUCAGACCCCCAACCCUCCUGCAGCCUUACUAGGAUGGGAACCCCCACCCCCCCAGCAGCCUUUAUAUGACCAGAACCCCCCAACCUUCCUGCAGCCUUUAUAGGACCAGAGCCUCCCCCCCCCCCCCCCCCCCCCAAAGUCUUUAUAGGGUUGGAACCCCCAGCCCCCCCUGCAGCCAUUAUAGGAUGGGAAUCCCCAGCCCCUCCUGCAGCCUUUAUAGGAUCAGACCUCCAACCCUCCUGCAGCCUUAAUAGGAUGGGAACCCUCAGCCCUCCCUGCAGCCUUUAUAGAAUGGGAACCCCCAACUUUCCUGUGGCAUUUAUAGGACCUGAGCACCCCCCCCCCCCCCGCAGUCUUUAUACGAUG